AGUAACGCGUGAGUAACCUGCCUUACACAAGGGGAUAGCCUUUGGAAACGAAGAAUAAUACCCUAUAAAACCAUAAAAGCACAUGCUAGAAUGGUCAAAGUGAUAGCGGUGCAAGAUGGACUUGCGUCUGAUUAGCUAGUUGGUGAGAUAAAAGCUCACCAAGGCAACGAUCAGUAGCCGGCUUGAGAGAGUGUACGGCCACAUUGGGACUGAGACACGGCCCAG
rnacentral:rRNA from 1 species